AUCCAUUCAAUUCAGGACAACCCCAAGCUUUCAACAGCUUGUCAUUUUAAUUCUCCAACUUGCUGUCAUGUGAUAUCUCUGUCCUUGGCUUACAGUGAAGCUCAACACAAGCUUGAGGUAAAGCACCUAUCAUUUAAUAAGACACUGAACAGCCUUCUGGACUUAACAAUCAGUUCAACAAUUUAAAACCAUAACCUCUGCCUCCAUUCUCUUCCCUUUCUUUGCAUGUGUCUGUCUGAACACUUUUUUUGUUUUCAGAUGGUAGUUGUUCAUUAUUCUGACAGUCACAUCCCCUCUGGAUUGAUGUUUUGGUUUCUUUAUUUGUCCACUCCUACUUCAUUUUGCUCUGCCUCACCAACCAUUAGUGAUACACACUGUACUAAUUUGAUUUUUGCUCAAGUUGUUGGUGUCAAUCAAUAAUAAGUAAUACCACAAGAGAUAUUUUCACAAUCAUAAUUCUCUAUAUGAGUUCAGUCUGACUAAGAAACAUAAGUAAAGGUAUUUCAUCUGAACUAAAACAGUUAAGCAUAAAAGCCUUCCUGUAGCCCAAACGAUACAAAAUGAACUUGUCUUGUUCAUUACUGCCAUGAGCACUUAGAAAUGGAAAUUGUUACAAUCAUUAGACAUGUCACAGGAAUUUCACCUGAUUUUCAAAUCCUUAAAUAUAAAUUCAUUUAUGUCUGGUUUUGUGACUGGAAGCAGCAUGGUGAGAUAAGGAAAAUGUAGAACCAUCAAUCAUUUGCGUCAAGAAACUUAAAUUUCAGGCUCACUUCAUUCAUAGUUUAUCUGCAGAUAGGACUGACAUGAUAAUUAUAUUUUGGAGGGUUGGGGUAGGGAGGUGGAUAGGCACAAUUGAAUGGACUAGGGAGUGUAGUGUUAAAUUGUUCUGGGUUUGAAUGUGAGACCACGUUUGCUAUUAAUGCUCACUGAGUGUGACUGGUUAAGCCUGGUGCGUAAACUAAAGAGACUGUAGAAAAAGCUGAGAGCUAUAGUUAGAAUCGAAGAGCAGACAUCUGACAGCAUUGUAUAAGCUCCUCAAAAUAAAGUUUCUGCAGAGUUCCAAGAUAUAAAAUGUACAAAAAAGCAGCAAUGAAAAUGACAGAGAAAAGUUUGAAUCUGCCAGUUCCUGAAUUUUUCCUUUCUUGUAUGGAAGAUCCACAUAUGUCAACAGGCUGAUGGAUUUCAGGGUUCAAGUCUCUUUACCUGGGUGAAUAGUUCAUAUGUAGUAGUGAUCUGUACAAAAUCAACACUCAUACACUGUCUUGGAACAGAUUAAGAGCAAAUAUUUGAACAGCUCCAGGAAGACACAUCUCGUGUGAUAUAGUCGUACAGGGUCUUGCACAAUACUUCCAGCCAAAGAAGAAUGUGAUGACAGAAUAACAUAGAAUAGCAAGACAGCCAGGAAAAUGGCAAGGCCAAUCAAUAAUACAUGACAGACUUCAGCAAUGGGCUUCUAACUGGAAAUAUGACACAAUAACUUAUGAAUUAAUCAUGAAUAUUAUAAAUAGGAGUAGAACCUCAUGUCUCCUGUACCAUUCAGUAAGAUCAUAGCUGUUCUGGUUGUGUUUCAAGUUCUCCAUUCCCUUCUACUCCUGAUAAACCAUAAUCCCCUGAACAAUAAUUCAUCCACCUCUGCCUCAAAAAUAUUUAAAAUGAACCUGUUUCCACCACUUUCUGAGGCAGAGAUUCCAAGCUGUUUGAGAGAAAAGAAAUUCCUCAUCUCAGUCUUGAAAGUGCGGGUAUAAUUUUAAAACAGCGCUCUGUGUGGAAUGAUCCAUGUCCACUUUGUCAAGACUAUGUUACGUACUUCAGUCAAGUAACCCCUCACUCUUAAACUCCCACAGAAAUAGACUUAGCUUGUUCAACCUUUCCUCAUCAGACAACAUACUUAUUCCAGAUAUUAAUCCAGCAAACCCCUUCUGAACCACCUCCAAUACACCCCGGGGGUGUAGAGUGACAGCAGUCCAAGAGUCAAGCACAGAUGACAAGGUCAAAGCCAACCAUGCGCUUCCUGUCUUGUCUAACGGAGAAGGAGCCGGCAUCUUCCUCGGUGGUACUGACUUGGAUCCCAAAUUCGCUGCUGCGCUGUGCAGAGAACAUACGCCUCUUCGAAAGGGAGUGCCCAAUCAUCCAGCACAUGACAAUCGACCUGGUUGGGGGAAUGUCAAACCCACGUUGAGCAGGGGACUGACGUUUUGCUGCCGUGUCAAAAUGUUUAUCCAUUCAAGCGGAGAGAGGAAAACAAUUGAUGAUGAAGUUACACCCCAGGGGAAGGGGAGGGAGGGAGUGACCCACCAGUGUGACAAGUCGGUGCUGGUGCAGAAAUACCAGUGCAACGCUGAGGGGGGAGGGGGGAGAGGCAGGAUGGGUGGCGGCGGCAGUAAAUGGAGAAAGGUUUCAGUGGCAGCCCCGGGGUCCAUCGGGGAAGGCACAGAGGCAGGAGGCAGUCAGCUGCCAGGGCAGGAGGGCGGAGGGCAGCACGGAGAGCCCCGUCGCUCCGGGAGCACGGCAGACAGCGAGAGCUUGCAAUCUGCAGCCGAGGAAGGGAGCAGCGUCGAGCAGGAGCUGGACAGGGCGCUAGCCGAAUGCUGGAUCACCCCCGCGGGGCAGGCCGCCCCCGCUGCCAGCCGCCAGGCGGGCUCCCACAGCAGCCUCUGUGUGCGGCUUGGCCAGGCUGAGAACGGCGCCACCGCUGGCUGCCAGUGGGAGUCGCUGCUGAGCUGCUGCACUGAGACCGUCCCGGGCCAGCACUGCGACCAGACAGACCCAACUGCAGCCCUGAGCUCCACCAAACUGGACGUGGGGAAUAGGAACCAGCCCAGCCCUACAUACGAUUUAGUCACGAUAAGCACACAAGACCCAAAAAAUAAUAACUUGGCCAAUGGGGUUCUCUUCAACUCUAUUAUCUUAGUAAAUAUAUUAAUAGUUCUUGGAACACUAACUAUCUUCUUGCUCAAAUGCCUCUUAUCCAUCGGGUUGUCUCCACAUUGAUUAUCUUAGUCAUUGUUAAUAGCAAGUACAACAUUCGCCAUCACUAUUAACGAUUCCACAUCAACGGAAAGAACACAUCUCAGAACUCAACUCCAAUUCUCUAUGAUUACUUUGAAGAGGAAUUAAUGGCCAGUAUUGUUAAAGAAUACAGCUAACCACUAGUUAAAAUAUCAAUGAAAUCUGAUCCAUUAGAUAGAAUCCAUGCAUGUUUCCAAAGUGAAAAGGAAUUAACAUACUUUAAUGCAAUGCUUAUUGUAAUAUAAUUGUUUUGUAUAUAUAUUUUGAAAAGAAUAAAUGAUUUAUUUAAGGAAUACUCACACAUUCUCAGAUAUAACCAAUUGCUGACUAUCAAUUACUAUUAUUUUGGAAGCUAGAAUUUCAUCAGAUUAGUGGACUUACUGUCAUUCACUAAAAGCUAGAGGUAGAUGUUGAGAAAGUGUUGCCCCUGUUUUGUAUGUUUUGCAGUAAAAAGCAUUGAAAAUUAGGUACUUCAAAUAUCAGGGGCAUAUUUUCAUUUGCCAGCUGAAUUUGCUGAGGUUAUUCGAUUCAAAAUGAGGUAAUAACUAUUGGAGAAGUUUUAAGUUUAAGGACGAAAUACUCUUUCAUGUUUACUUCUGAAUUAUUUGCAAUCGAACCUAAAUUGAGCUUAUUAUUAGCAAGGCUACUUCAAGUGAUGGAAUACAAAAUCUUCCUGUUCCUGAGGUGCAUGAUGACUUUUAUUGACCUUUUGAUUUCUCUCCAAAGCUAUAGUAAAUACGAACCUAGAGUGUAUUAAUUUCCUGAACAUUUAAACAAAGGUUAACUUGUAGUUAUGAAACUGUAUCUUUCCCUUUCAUCCCUAUCCUGUCCCCACACAAUUAAUUUGUCACCAAGCUCAUGGAACCCAGCUAGAUUUGUUUUAUUUUGUAGAAAAUCCAUUUAAAAAUUUCUAUUAAUCCAUUAGUGUUUCUCAAAUAAAUAAAAUGUGGUCCUUUAAAAGAUAAUUGAGUAAAAGAAGAUUAAAAUGUAUUCCCUUUCUGAGGUAUAUUUGUCUGUUUUGUGAAUGAUCUUCAAAGAAAAGCAUUUAAAAUAAGAAAGUGGGGUUUCAAAAGGGUCUCAAAGCUGGUGUCAGUUAAAUAGCUGACCGUCAUUAUUACUUAUUCACAGAAAAACUAUGUUAACUGCUUACCAAAAACAUGUUUUAUGCAUAAAUCCAGGGAGAAUA